UGGGGAAUCUUGCGCAAUGGGCGAAAGCCUGACGCAGCAACGCCGCGUGCGGGAAGAAGGUCUUAGGGUUGUAAACCGCUUUCAGCAGGGACGAAGGCAAUCGGGUUAAUAGCCCGUGAGUUGACGGUACCUGCAGAAGAAGGUCCGGCUAACUACGUGCCAGCAGCCGCGGUAAUACGUAGGGACCAAGCGUUGUCCGGAAUCAUUGGGCGUAAAGAGCGUGUAGGCGGCUUGUUAAGUCUUGUGUGAAAUCUCGGGGCUCAACCCCGAGCGGUCAUGAGAAACUGGCAGGCUAGAGUGCGGGAGAGGAGAGUGGAAUUCCUGGUGUAGCGGUGAAAUGCGCAGAUAUCAGGAAGAACACCCGUGGCGAAGGCGGCUCUCUGGAACGCAACUGACGCUGAGACGCGAAAGCGUGGGGAGCAAACAG
rnacentral:rRNA from 1 species